UACGUAGGAUGCGAGCGUUGUCCGGAAUUACUGGGCGUAAAGAGCUCGUAGGUGGUUUGUCGCGUUGUUCGUGAAAACUCACAACUCAAUUGUGGGCGUGCGGGCGAUACGGGCAGACUGGAGUACUGCAGGGGAGACUGGAAUUCCUGGUGUAGCGGUGGAAUGCGCAGAUAUCAGGAGGAACACCGGUGGCGAAGGCGGGUCUCUGGGCAGUAACUGACGCUGAGGAGCGAAAGCGUGGGGAGCGAACAGG
rnacentral:rRNA from 1 species